CGCGCAGGCGGCGUGAUAAGUCAGAUGUGAAAGCCCACGGCUUAACCGUGGAAGUGCAUUUGAAACUGUCAUGCUUGAGUACCAGAGGGGAAAGUGGAAUUCCCGGUGUAGAGGUGAAAUUCGUAGAUAUCGGGAGGAAUACCGGUGGCGAAGGCGACUUUCUGGCUGGAUACUGACGCUGAGGCGCGAAAGCGUGGGGAGCAAACA
rnacentral:rRNA from 1 species